GGUGGGUUGCCAAAAUCAACACCUGAUUCCAAAAAAAAACAUAAAUAGAGGUUACCACCAUGAGCUAGAGAGAGAAAGCAAACGCAAGGUGGGAGUAAAUACUGUCAAACUUCGUGCUUCACACGAAGUUUGAUCUCCCGUUUACUACCCGCUGUUAAAACCUCAGCCCAUUACCAAAAAAUUUCUUUUCGGUCGCAAACCCUCGUAGGGAGUAGUAGUGCGCGACGUGUGUCUUAAAAAUUUAAUUAAAAGUCUCCUUAUUAGGUAUCGCAAGAAAAAUACCUAAGGUGCUGGGUGAUCCCGUGAAAAAACUGCAGAAAAAAGGUUUGGAACCCUUCCGCAGGAGAUCGUGGCGGUCACCAGGGUGGCCCCCAGCAGUGCACUACCAUCAGCCAAAUUUCCCUCGUGCUAGAGGUUCGACCGGAAAGACCAUCAGCCCAUCAGCCCGGAAGCCGUGAUUCCGUUCCGCGACUGUGAGCAGUCAAUUCAAGCCAUCAUCAAGUGCGCCAGUGUCCUGAGUGUCGUGUGCGCAGCCAUUUUGGAUUCGGGUAUCGGCCAGGUCGGGAAGAUAUUCCGUAGCGACGUAUCACGUGGAAUUGGUGGAGAACUUUCGAUCGGCGAGGCCGACCAGCCGCGUAACCGUCAUCUCAAGCUACCCCGGAUUGCAAGCCAUCGAAUCGAACCGAGCGACCGCAACAUCACUUUUCUUCCGGCAAGCCGCCGACCCGUUUCGACUACCCACAUCGCCCAGUUCGCGGCCACCACGUCGUCAAACCCGCUUCAGGCACUUUUCGUCCGGCAAGCCGCCGAUCAGUUUCGAGCAACAACACCGCCUCGUUUGCUGCCCCCACGCCAUCAAACCCGUUUCAAGCACCUUCGUCCGGCAAGCCGCCGACCAGUAUCGGGUACCAACAUCGCCCUUUCGCAGCCACCACGCCACCAAGCCCGCUUCGAACACCUUCGCUGGCUGCCAUGGCCCCUUUCAUGCAGAGCAGAGACCAUCGACCAACACUCAGGGCAGCCAUAGGCCCUUGCACGCAAGUACCCUAAAAAUGUGUGACGUUUGUACCUAAAUUACCGCCCUAGGGCAAAUAAACCAAUAUGAUGUUAAGCUAAA